rnacentral:rRNA from 1 species
AGCGAACGCUGGCGGCAGGCUUAACACAUGCAAGUCGAGCGGCCGUAGCAAUACGGCAGCGGCAGACGGGAGAGUAACACGUGGGAACGUGCCCAUCAGUUCGGAACAACCCAGGGAAACUUGGGCUAAUACCGGAUACGCCCUUACGGGGAAAGAUUUAUCGCUGAUGGAGCGGCCCGCGUCUGAUUAGCUUGUUGGUGAGGUAACGGCUCACCAAGGCGACGAUCAGUAGCUGGUCUGAGAGGAUGAUCAGCCUCACUGGGACUGAGACACGGCCCAGACUCCUACGGGAGGCAGCAGUGGGGAAUAUUGGACAAUGGGCGCAAGCCUGAUCCAGCCAUGCCGCGUGGAUGAUGAAGGCCUUAGGGUUGUAAAAUCCUUUCGGCGGGGAAGAUAAUGACGGUACCCGCAGAAGAAGCCCCGGCUAACUUCGUGCCAGCCGCCGCGGUAACAC